UCAGACAUGGAAGCAGCGCUAUUGGGAGGCUUGAACAUCCACUGUCUCCCCAGUCUCUGGACUGGCUCCUCCGUGCCCCCAAGGCUGAUGUGUCAGAGAUGAGAUGUGAGACCUCAGCCCCUCCCGCCCCUGCUGCCUGGCUGCCACUUUGCAUGCAGCUUUGGUCUGAACCCCACCUGCUGCUCCAGACCACAGCUGGGCCCAGCCCACGUCCUCCUUCUUAGAGGCUGCUGCCAUUUGGAACGGCUGAUGAUGAAGGGAUCUCACCCCAGGAUUUUCUCACAUCAGGGAUGCAG
rnacentral:lncRNA from 1 species